rnacentral:lncRNA from 1 species
GUUCAACAAUACAUUGAAUGGCAGAAAUAAGAAUGUGAUUGGUGUUUAAGGAAAUAAAUUUCCAUAAACAUCAAUGUUAGAACAUUCAGGUUCUAAUACAUGGUUUGGUUCAAACGGAUUUAAGCAUAGAGAACUUCGGGCCUCCACAUGAGUGUUGCACAUUAAGAAACUUUAGGUUUCUAUGACACCUUUCCAAAAUUCAAGUUUAUGAACUCUACGUUCAUAGUACCUACAAACAAGCGCAAUAUAUACAAGGUAAGAAUAUAUAGCAAGAAUAUAUAGUGAUUUA